CCGAGAGCCGUGCGGGGCCGAGCCUCGUGCCCCGAGGCACGCCGAGCCAAGUCACCCCUGCAGCCCGCGGCGCCGGAACUUGGGGGCGCAGUGGAGGAGAUGCCGCUGUCCCGUCGGUCUGGGGACAGCCCAGCUCCCCGGAUCCCGGGCUGGAGAGACGCGUCGCGGCCCCGGGGCCUGGUGGCACGAGCAGGAAGGAGGACCCGGCGGCGGGCUCUGCCUGGGCUUGCCUGGGCUUGUUCCGAGCCGGGCUGCUUCUCGGUGACCACGCAGAUCGGGGGCAUUUGGAGAUUUUGCGGGAGUCCUGCAGCCAAGCUCCGGGGCAGGAGAGGCCUGGAAGCCUGCACUACCUGCUCGCCCCGUCCCAGCAUGCACCCAGGUGCUGGGGAGAGGCAGGACAGGCCUGUCCCCCGAGUCCCCUCCGGAUGCCGUGGACCGGCCAGCUGUGAGUGUUUCUUUGGCAGUGUCUUAGCUGGUUGUUGUGAGCAAUAGUAAGGAAGCAAUCAGCAAGUAUACUGCCCUAGAAGUGCUGCACGUUGUGGGGCCCAAGAGGGAAGAUGAAGCGAGAGAUGCCCAGACCAGUGGGAGACGCCAGGACUUCGGAAGCUCUUCUGCGCCACGGUGGGUGGUGAGGGCGGCUGGGAAAGUGAGCUCCAGGGCCCCAGGAGCAGCCUGCUCGUGGGUGCGGAAGGAAAAAGGCACAGGGGCUUGGUGUGGGCGGCUUUUGGCUGGGAGAAGUUUGCACGUAGGGAGAAUAGUAGCCAGUGUUUGCAGAGCACUUACUAUGCAGGAAGGCCUGUCCUAAGUAUUGUAAGUGUAUUACAUCAUGUACAAGUGUCUGUGAUUAACCCCGUCUUGCAGAGAAGGAAACAAAAGUACAAACAGAAAAUGUAACUAAGCAUGCAAUUAAUAAAAAGGGACCAGGUUUUGAACGCGAGCAAUCUGGCUCAAGAAUCUGCGCCCAACCACCGGCUCCUGUUCUUAGAGAUGAACGUGGAGUCCUGGAGACUGCUCAACAUUGUGACUUGACUGUGAGCGUACGCGCUCCCUGUCCCCAGGAGACAGAUUUCCAGUGCAAUCAUAGAAAGUGCCUGUGUGGGCUUCGGGAGAUGUGUCUGCCUUGGGGAGAAUUUUCCUUUUCAGCUAGAGCCAGGCCCAGGAUGUUGACGUCAGUGAGACGCUGGUGACGUUCUCUGCUCCAGUGGCUGAUGAGAAAAGUUCCUCCAAGCCAGCUCAGUUGAGAAGAAUUAAGUUCUCUGGGUCCCACUGGCUUCACCUACAGAUGCCAACUUUGAGGCCAGUGAACUGUGAGGCCAGCUGGGCUGAUUGCCAUGGCAACAGGAAUUGGACCAAAGUCACCGGAGGAUGGAGAGGGAAGACACAGUGGUGGCUUCCCCAGGUCUUGGACCACAAGGCACAGCCGUGGCCUCCAGGAACCCUGAGAUAACCCGUUAGUGGGUCCUGCACUCCAACAGAGCUCAUGCAAUCAGCCUCUGGUCCUCACCCUCCUCCCAUUGGUGUCGUUGUGCUCUCUAACAUUGACAUUGAGCAGUGAGUGCUCCAGAUCUUGUUCCACUGAUUUUUUCCACUGUUCUCCAGUCUAGCACUUUCUGAAAUUCAUCCAAGCCUAAGAGGUGACGCCAAACGUAAGUGUCUUACACCUCGGACCCCAUGGACUAAGACAAGCCUCUGGGGUCCAUGUGGCACCAAGGAUGGGGCCUUCUAGUACCUUUCACACAGGCCAGGGACAGCACCUGCUGCGACCCCCACCCCCAGCCUCUGCUGCUUCUCCCGUUGCCCUUCCAGCCACUGCCCUGGGCACCUCCCCUGCUCCCGCCUCCCUGCCUGGGCCCAUCUUUCUUUGCACCUCACCAAUUGCGGGGCUUCCUAGUGCUGGAGGGGAAGGGAGCCUGCUUCCAUUCUCACCACUCUGAAAGAAGACCCUGCAGAGAGGUUUUCUGGAAUUUGGAGCCUAACCUUGGCCUUGACACAGUCCAGAUGAGAAGGCCGUCCCCCAGUUAAGCCAGCCCUCCCUCCCUCUCAAUGCUGGAGAGGAAACCAGGCAGCUGGUUGCUUCAGCAAACCCCCUCCCUAUGGGAAUUGUCCUUUUCUUCCUCAAAUAGACUGGAGUGCAGAGGACUUGCUUCAGAGAGAGCCCCUUUGUAACGCACAUUGCACGGGCCGUGCCCCAUGCCCACUCUGCCACAAACUCCCCUCAGCUGCCCAGCCCCGUGGAGCCAGGCGUGGGCUGAAGUGGGGCCAAUGAAAUGCCUGGAAUGCCAGCCGCAGUGACAGGCCAGCACUCAGAUGCCUCUCGGGAGUUCUGACCGAAGCAGCACUGAGGACUGCUUCAGAGCAGAAGUCUACGCCAUUUUCCCCAGUUCUAGGCAGAAGUAAAGAAUGUCUCUACCUUCUCCCAACCAGCAAUUGAUUCAGAGUCCUGAGCUUUUAAAUUAAAGGGACCCCUCUGUUGCUUUAUGCAGUAGCCAGCUUAUUCAUUUGAGUUCAGGUGAAAUCAUUUUCAAGUAACCUCUUCCUAUCCAGCUUUACUUUUAGUUAUGCUGACAUAAAAACAAUAAAAAUUGUCCUCCUCAGAGUUCACCUGUAAAAGUUCCUGGAUAAUUAGUAAGGAAACAGAAAGAGCAGAUAGUUGUUGCUUCAGAUAAAAGUGAUGUCUGGGUUGGGCACGGUGGCGCAUGCCUGUAAUCCCAGCACUUGGGGAGGCCCAGGUGGAUGGAUCCCUUGAGCUCAGGAGUUUCAGACCAGCCUGGGCAACAUCUCUACAAAAAAUACAAAAAUUAGCCAGGCAUAGUGGCAGGACUGUAGUCCCAGCUACUCAGGAGGCUGAGGUCAGGGGAUGGCUUGAGCCCAGGAGGCACAGAUUGAAGUGAGCUGAGAUUGCGCCACUGUAUUCCAGCCUAGGUGACAGAGCCAGACCCUGUCUCAAAUUAAAAAAAACUCUUUGUGGUCAUUUAAUUUACUUCUGCAUUCUUUUUUUUUUUUUUUUGAAAUGGGCAGUGGUACCAUCUCAGCUCACUGCAACCUCUGCCUUGGGGGUUCAAGUGAUUCUCCUGCCUCAGCCUCCCGAGUAGCUGGGAUUACAGGCACCCGCCACCACGCCCAGCUAAUUUUUGUAUUUUUAGUAGAGACGGGGCUUUGCCAUGUUGACCAGGCUGGACUCAAACUCCUGACCUCAGGUGAUCCGCCCACCUCGGCCUCCCAAAGCACUGGGAUUACAGGAAUGAGCCACUGCACUCGGCCUACUUCUGCAUUCCUUAGAGUACAUCCUAGCUAGGAUAUAUUCACUUGUCUUUAGAGCUAACAGCAGAAGAAAGGUACCUAGAUGCUUAUCUAGCUCUUUAUCUUUCUAGAAAUUCUAGAAGAUGAGAGGGGCAGUGGUGGCUCCAAGGGAGUGAUUUUAGGAUGGACUGGGACAGAGAGGGGCUGCUUACACAUACUCACACAGAGGCCAUUAAUUUAGGGAGUUCAAGGUCCAGGAGGUUGACGGCAUCUAGGCCUGUGGCAGAGUGCACUCCUGCUUUGGGGAAUGUAUGGGCAGCUUCUUGCCUGUAGUUGGAGGGUUAGAGAGAGGGAUCAAUAAUUUCAUGGUUGGACUUGAGUUUGGAGCGAGUGGAGUUAGAUACAAAUUCUAUGUUUUUGGAGAAAGUAUUUGAUCUUCUUGGCUGUGAGGCAAAGCGAGGUUUAAAAAUAUUUUUCACUUAAAAAUAUAUAUAUAUGCAUGUAUAUUUAAUACUGUCUAUGGAUUGUGCCAAUAUCUAUUUCAUGGUUUUGAUAUUGUGUAGUUAUACAAGGAGUUACCACUGAACGAAACUGGGGGAAGGGUACACAGAAUCUCUGUACUUUUUUUGUUGUUGUUGCAAUUUCCUGUAAAUCUAUGAUUAUUUUAAAAUAAAAAAGUUAAAGCAUACGUAUUUACAUUUGAUUAAAUGCAGUGUGAUAUCCUGGGUUGGAUUUUGGAACAAAACAAGGCAUGAGUGAAAAAACUGGUAAAAUCCAAAAAAGCCUUUAGUUAAAAGUAAUACCAGUGUUAAUUUCUUAGUUUUGACAAAUGUGCCAUGGCUGUGUAAGAUGCAAAUGUUAGAGGAAACUGGGCGAAGAAUUUGAGGGAACUCUCUGUACUAUUCUUUGCAGCUUUUCUGUAAAUCUACAAUUAUUCCAAAAUAAAAGUCUAUUAAAAAUGUAA
rnacentral:lncRNA from 1 species